rfam:Picea glauca, whole genome shotgun sequence.
ACAUGGCUGCAACAUAGCGUUAAUGCAUCAGAUACCAUUAGAACUCUGCAGUUAAGCAUGAUCAGGCUAUAUUAGUACUGGGAUGGGUGACCACCCAAGAAGUCCUAGUGUUUUACAUGUC